AUUGAACGCUGGCGGCAGGCUUAACACAUGCGAGUCGAGCGGAGAUGAGGUGCUUGCACCUUAUCUUAGCGGCGGACGGGUGAGUAAUGCUUAGGAAUCUGCCUAUUAGUGGGGGACAACAUUCCGAAAGGAAUGCUAAUACCGCAUACGUCCUACGGGAGAAAGCAGGGGAUCUUCGGACCUUGCGCUAAUGGAUGAGCCUAAGUCGGAUUAGCUAGUUGGUGGGGUAAAGGCCUACCAAGGCGACGAUCUGUAGCGGGUCUGAGAGGAUGAUCCGCCACACUGGGACUGAGACACGGCCCAGACUCCUACGGGAGGCAGCAGUGGGGAAUAUUGGACAAUGGGGGGAACCCUGAUCCAGCCAUGCCGCGUGUGUGAAGAAGGCCUUAUGGUUGUAAAGCACUUUAAGCGAGGAGGAGGCUACUGAGAUUAAUACUCUUGGAUAGUGGACGUUACUCGCAGAAUAAGCACCGGCUAACUCUGUGCCAGCCGCCGCAGUAAGAC
rnacentral:rRNA from 1 species